rnacentral:tRNA from 1 species
GUCUAUGUAGAUUAUAAAAAUCGUGAUGCUGUUAACUUCAAGAAAUGGAUUUAUCCGUUGUAGUCG